rnacentral:other from 1 species
UGCGAAGUGGAUACCAGGAUGGUGUAGCUUCGCAGCAGGAACACCAGGACGGUGCUGCAAGGAAAGGCUUCCGGAUGAAGCAAAGUGGAUAACGCAGGACGCGUUAAAGGACACCUCCAGGAUGGAGAAUGUGAGCCGGUCAGGAUGUCCGGUGGACCAGGAUGUUCAGGGAAGGGCGUUACGGAUAACGCAGAUCGUAUCGGGACGAUGCGAGCAGGAUGCAGCAGUUUAAGGAUGAAUGGUUUACGGAUGAACAGGUCAGGAGACCGCAGGAAAAGUUGUCACGGAUGAGCAGGGAGCAACAAAAGUAGCUGGAAUGCUGCGAAACGAACCGGGAGCACUGUUUUUACAGUGCUCCCUUUUUUUG